rnacentral:rRNA from 1 species
UAUGAGGGGUCCUAGCGUUGUUCGGAAUCAUUGGGCGUAAAGGGUGUGUAGGUGGCUAUGUAAGUCAGGUGUGAAAGCCCCGGGCUCAACCCGGGAAGUGCAUCUGAUACUGCGUAGCUUGAGUACCGAAGAGGAUAGUGGAAUUCCAGGUGUAGUGGUGAAAUACGUAGAUAUCUGGAGGAACACCGGUGGCGAAGGCGGCUAUCUGGUCGAGUACUGACACUGAGACACGAAAGCAUGGGGAUCAAAC